rnacentral:rRNA from 1 species
GAUGAACGCUGGCGGCGUGCCUAAUACAUGCAAGUCGAGCGAACGGACGAGAAGCUUGCUUUUCUGAUGUUAGCGGCGGACGGGUGAGUAACACGUGGAUAACCUACCUAUAAGACUGGGAUCACUUCGGGAAACCGGAGCUAAUACCGGAUAAUAUUUUGAACCGCAUGGUUCAAAAGUGAAAGACGGUAUUGCUGUCACUUAUCGAUGGAUCCGCGCUGCAUUAGCUAGUUGGUAAGGUAACGGCUUACCAAGGCAACGCUGCAUAGCCGACCUGAGAGGGUGAUCGGCCACACUGGAACUGAGACACGGUCCAGACUCCUAAGGGAGGCAGCAGUAGGGAAUCUUCCGCAAUGGGCGAAAGCCUGACGGAGCAACGCCGCGUGAGUGAUGAAGGUCUUCGGAUCGGAAAACUCUGUUAUUAGGGAAGAACAUAUGUGUAAGUAACUGUGCACAACUUGACGGUACCUAAUCAGAAAGCCACGGCUAACUACGUG